AUUAGCUAGAUGGUGGGGUAACGGCUCACCAUGGCAAUGAUACGUAGCCGACCUGAGAGGGUAAUCGGCCACAUUGGGACUGAGACACGGCCCAAACUCCUACGGGAGGCAGCAGUAGGGAAUCUUCCACAAUGGACGAAAGUCUGAUGGAGCAACGCCGCGUGAGUGAAGAAGGGUUUCGGCUCGUAAAACUCUGUUGUUAAAGAAGAACAUAUCUGAGAGUAACUGUUCAGGUAUUGACGGUAUUUAACCAGAAAGCCACGGCUAACUACGUGCCAGCAGCCGCGGUAAUACGUAGGUGGCAAGCGUUGUCCGGAUUUAUUGGGCGUAAAGCGAGCGCAGGCGGUUUUUUAAGUCUGAUGUGAAAGCCUUCGGCUCAACCGAAGAAGUGCAUCGGAAACUGGGAAACUUGAGUGCAGAAGAGGACAGUGGAACUCCAUGUGUAGCGGUGAAAUGCGUAGAUAUAUGGAAGAACACCAGUGGCGAAGGCGGCUGUCUGGUCUGUAACUGACGCUGAGGCUCGAAAGUAUGGGUAGCAAACAGGAUUAGAUACCCUGGUAGUCCAUACCGUAAACGAUGAAUGCUAAGUGUUGGAGGGUUUCCGCCCUUCAGUGCUGCAGCUAACGCAUUAAGCAUUCCGCCUGGGGAGUACGGCCGCAAGGCUGAAACUCAAAGGAAUUGACGGGGGCCCGCACAAGCGGUGGAGCAUGUGGUUUAAUUCGAAGCUACGCGAAGAACCUUACCAGGUCUUGACAUACUAUGCAAAUCUAAGAGAUUAGACGUUCCCUUCGGGGACAUGGAUACAGGUGGUGCAUGGUUGUCGUCAGCUCGUGUCGUGAGAUGUUGGGUUAAGUCCCGCAACGAGCGCAACCCUUAUUAUCAGUUGCCAGCAUUAAGUUGGGCACUCUGGUGAGACUGCCGGUGACAAACCGGAGGAAGGUGGGGAUGACGUCAAAUCAUCAUGCCCCUUAUGACCUGGGCUACACACGUGCUACAAUGGAUGGUACAACGAGUUGCGAACUCGCGAGAGUAAGCUAAUCUCUUAAAGCCAUUCUCAGUUCGGAUUGUAGGCUGCAACUCGCCUACAUGAAGUCGGAAUCGCUAGUAAUCGCGGAUCAGCAUGCCGCGGUGAAUACGUUCCCGGGCCUUGUACACACCGCCCGUCACACCAUGAGAGUUUGUAACACCCAAAGUCGGUGGGGUAACCUUUUAGGAACCA
rnacentral:rRNA from 1 species